rnacentral:rRNA from 1 species
AAUCAACGCUGGCGGCGCGCUUAACACAUGCAAGUCGAGCGAGAAAGUGGAGCAAUCCAUGAGUACAGCGGCGUACGGGUGAGUAACACGUGGGUCAUCUACCUUUUAGUGGGAAUAACCCUGGGAAACCGGGGCUAAUACCGCAUAAUCCUGUGAAGGGAAAGCAGCAAUGCGCUGAAAGAGGAGCCCGCGGCCGAUUAGCUAGUUGGUGAGGUAACGGCUCACCAAGGCGACGAUCGGUAGCCGGCCUGAGAGGGCACACGGCCACACUGGCACUGAAACACGGGCCAGACUCCUACGGGAGGCAGCAGUGGGGAAUCUUGCACAAUGGAGGCAACUCUGAUGCAGCGACGCCGCGUGAGCGAUGAAGCCCCUCGGGGGUGUAAAGCUC